AUAAAAUUACAUUAGGAAUAGCAACAUCACUUUUAUAAACACAGAAAUAAAAAUCUCUAACAAAAAAGUACAAAAUGUCCUUACUUCAGUAUUCUGAGGAAAAGGUAAGGGGAUUCACUAUAGCAGCGAUUCAAAACUGCAGUCAUCAAACUCCUGUUUCAUGACAUAACACAAACACACUAAACCUGAAUUGCCCUAUAGUCUACUAACAUAAUCUAAUAAAAUAAAGAAACCUAACAUACAAAUAUUCUCAGCAUAAAACUGGAUUCUAACAAAGCACCCUUUAAAGGCACACUUUCCAACCUAAUGCAAUCUGAAACUACCUUAAUUACUUACCAAACAGCCUUGAUGUUAUUACAGGUUGGUUAUGUAAUCAUCAGUAAUGAGAGUUAAAUAUUUAUUUUCUAAUGCCAAAUUACAUUUUUAUAUUAUUUUUAUUCCAUAAUCAAUUAGUGUAAUUUGUUAAUCUUCAAUGCCAAUAGUUUGUGCUACUAAUUUUCUCCUACACUUUAAGGAGACAGCAUUUUAAUAUUUUCAUUCUCGUUUUAUGAAUACUACUUUCUUAAUGAUCAAUGGUUAAACCAACUUUAUUAACUAUUCUAUUGUGAAAGGAUAUAAUGAGAUACCUAAGCUUUACAAUCAAAUUCAAGCUCAAUUUUCUUUUAUAAUCGUCUUUGAUUCCUUUAUUUUUUUUCUACACCCACUGCUGUUAACCAUGAAGAACAUUCUGCAUUCCCUGUGCAGCAUCACUGGUUUCAUCUUCUGAGUCAGACUCAAUCUGGGAUGUGGAGCUGUGUGACGAAGAGUUCCUGGGGGAAGAGCAUUCUGGAGAACACAAAUAAUGCACCAGCGGGACGUCAUACCUCCCACAGAAGUCCACAGUCACAAUUUAUCUGGCAAAGCAGUCAAAAUACACUCUCCUAUAUUUGCGCUUCUGCAAUUGCUGGCUGCACCCAAGUAUCUUAACAGAUUCCCAGGAAGAUAAGAGAAUCCCAGGACUUGAGAAACAGAAGUUGUCAGGUGUCUGUGGUUUGCUGAUCACCCAACUGAAAUAACGAGGUGAAUUCCUUUUACUGAAAACAGUGACUCAGAAUUUGGUUCAUAGGCACAAUUGCACCAUGAGGAUAUCUAGAUGGAUCACAAUGAUAAUAUGGGAAAAAACAGAAGCCUCAGUGACUUUUUUUCAACUGACAUAGAUUCUUCCUUCAAGUAGUCAGGAGGAAGUGUGAAACUCAAUUGAUGAAUUGUCUCCAUCCUACUCUGCUGUCAUCAUAUUGUACUGUCCUGAAUUUGGUUGGUUAAAGUUUGAAGUCAGAAGCCCAUUGUGGGAAAUCUCACUCCUGGGGAAGUCUUCGAAGUUUCUAUAAGAAAUCAAGAUAAAUGAGCCAUGGUGAAUAAGCCAAUUGAAAAAAAUCAGGGUUGAUCAAGGAAAAUCCCCUGCAACACCCCUGAUGGUAGUGGAUGGUUCAAAUGAUUCAACAACUCAGAGAGCAUGUGUUUCAGUUUCCUCUGAGUUAUACAUGCAGAAUAACUUCAAGCUAGUGAGGAGAAGACUUAGAAACAGAAUUCGCGAAAACGCUUCCUGGUCAUUACCGACUUUGAAAAUCCACAUUAAAGCUAAAGACUUAAUGCAGUCCCUUCUCCCUCGACCCCUAAAAAGGACCCGGAACAGGAAGUGCGUCACAAUCCCAUUCUGGGGACGGACCAGGCUGCCUAGGAAACUACAGGAACCAAAGAUUCUCUUUGUUGGCGAUUUCCUUCAGAACAGCAAUCACAGUCGCACUUCCUGGCUGCAGCUGAAUAGCUUUGAGCGUUGGUUUAAUUCUUUAAAUGAAAGCUUCUCUUUAUUUGCGAUUUUACCCUAUCAGCAAACACAGUCGCACUUCCACGUUGGGGAGAGUAGCUUUGAGAACGAAAUUUCACUUUUUAAAAAAUCUCUUCAUUUGCGAUUUCCCCUGACUACCAGAGUCGCACAUCCAGGUUGCAGAAGAGUGACAUGAAAGCAGGAUUUCUUCGCUUAACUGAAGGUUUCUCUUUGUUUGCGAUUUUUACGGAGCAGCACACGCAGGUGGCAGGAGAGUGACACUGCAUCCAUCUUCAGCCUAUAUGCCCAGGACAUAUGGCACAUUUUUUUAUGAAGAAGGAACUUGAAGGAUCACCCUUUCCAUUGGCAACUUCAGCAGUCACUCUUCUUUGUAACCUGCCUGUCGAGUUUGGACAGCAUUGUGUCAAGCAUUCAAGGAAAGAAGUUUCUUGUACAAAUGGCUGGUCCUGCCAUGUGAAAGGUGACAUCACUCCAGGCUGAUUCUGACGGCUCCCCAAUGUCUACCAUUCUGCUAGAUUUUCAUGAAACACUUAAUUGAAAAUUGUGACCAACCACAGUUUUGGACUGCCAUUCAGAAUAAAUUCUACUCAAAAUCUAUACAGGGAACUGGACAUGACCAUGAUGAACAUAUAUAUGAAAUAUAAAUCCUUUGACAACAUUGCAACUCUUACAUGGACAUUCAAGAUGAAACCACUAAGAUUUCCAAACAUCUUCAAGCUCAACUUUCUUUUUUAAUCACCUUUGGUGAGUUUAAGUAUUUUUCUACACCCACUGCUGUUAUCCACGAAGAUCAUUAAGCAUUCUGUAUGCAGGAUUCCAGGCUUCAUCUUCUGAGUCAGAUGCCAUCUGAGAUGUGGAGCUGUGUGAGGCAGAGAUGCAAGGGGAAGAGCAUUCUGGAGAACACAAACAAUGCCUCGGGGAUGUGAUACUUCCAACAGAAAUCCACAGACUUAAUUUGUCUGAAAGAGCAGUCAAAAUACACUCCUCCAUACUUGGGGUUUGGGCAAUUGCUGGCUAAACACAAACAUCUAAGGAGCUUCCCAGGAAGAUCAUGGGGAGUGUAAGAAAUACUUCUGGAUCUUAAUGAUCCUUGCAGGUAUUGCCAGAAGAACUGGAGAGUCAAAUGUUAAAUCUUGACCAAAGGAAACAAAAAACAAUGUAUUUCAUAAAAAACAACUCUUCCUGAUGUGUAAGUCUGAGGAUCUCUAGAGGCAGACAUGUCAGCAAGUUAUUGAGGGAAUGCUCUGCAGCUGGUUUCCUCCCAGGUUCUGGUUGCCUCCCAUGUUAAGGGUCUACAGGGCUCCCAGCUCCAACAGCUAGGCAGGCCCUUAAUGGAAGCAGAUGGCUGUGAGGUAGCGAACCUGUAAUAUGUUAUGUAGUUGCACAUGGACAGGUCAUAGAGCAGCAUUCCUGGAUUUCAGAUCUCUAUGUCCAUCAGAAUGCUGGGGCUGCUCUGAUGGGACAGCUCCAAUCCCAGAGUCAUGUGCUCAUUCCUGGUCAAGUCCUGUAGCUGAAGGUUCAGAAAGACACUGCACAGCGCCCAGGCAGCAUGUCAGAAUGUUGUAGGCCAGCAGCAUCCACAGAAACAACAAACUUGAGCCCUGUUACCCCUCAGGCCUCCCUUCCACCUUCGACUCCUGCUCCCUUCCACCUCAGACUCCAGAGUGUAGGCUAACAUGCUGAGAAGGGAGCAGCUGAGUUCAGCUUCUCUGCAUGUGGCCUCACCCAUAGGCAGUAAUCCCAGGCUCUUCCAGUUGACACCAUGGAACGCUCUGCAACAGGAAGUGAGCUCUGUUUAGGACGUGGUGCCAGUUGGUGGGGGGAAGUAGCGUCGUGGGGGCGAGGAAAGACUACGUUCUGUAGCUAGCUGACCACUUUUCUGUAACAUUUAGGAUAAAUGUGAACUUCUAUCUUCUAUUGCAUUGAAAAUCGAUGUCGAGACAUUCUGUAAUAUAGAUCGAAUAUAGCUGAGAUCCUUGACAGAUGAUUAAUUCAUGUGUGAGAUGGAGUAUGUGGGAGAGCCCUUGUGCCUGUCAUUUUCCUCUGCAUGUUUUAGGAUCACAGACAGGAUUCCCACAGACACCUUUUUGGUUCCUCAGAUUUCAGUGCAGGAUACAGAAACGUUAAGUUGAAUCUUCAGAGGGAACCCAAAGCAUAGAUUCAGAAAUGUAACAGAGGAAAACUGGAGUUUUUCAAACUGUUUGUUGCAGUGUGUUCCUUGAGUUAUAGGAAAGUGAUUGUAUUUUAAAUAAAGUAAAAAUUUUCAUCACUUGGUAAUGGGUCAUUCAGUAACAGACUUAUACUGCAUGUGUGAAAUACUGUUUUUUCUCUCUCAAGUAAGCAUGGAAGUCAUUAAAAUUAUGUGGUAAGCAAGACCAGAACUUGAGAAGAAGAAAUUGUCAGACCUCUGAGUUUGCUGACAAUCUAGCUGAAAACAGUGUCUCACUUAAGUUCAGGAGUAGCAAUAAUUUGUAUUGCGAGAGUGCUGACAUUCUUGCUAUAUUUCAUUUCCA
rnacentral:lncRNA from 1 species